GAUGAACGCUGGCGGCGUGCCUAAUACAUGCAAGUCGAGCGAAUGGAUUAAGAGCUUGCUCUUAUGAAGUUAGCGGCGGACGGGUGAGUAACACGUGGGUAACCUGCCCAUAAGACUGGGAUAACUCCGGGAAACCGGGGCUAAUACCGGAUAACAUUUUGAACCGCAUGGUUCGAAAUUGAAAGGCGGCUUCGGCUGUCACUUAUGGAUGGACCCGCGUCGCAUUAGCUAGUUGGUGAGGUAACGGCUCACCAAGGCAACGAUGCGUAGCCGACCUGAGGGGGUGAUCGGCCACACUGGGACUGAAACACGGCCCAGACUCCUACGGGAGGCAGCAGUAGGGAAUCCUCCGCAAUGGACGAAAGUCUGACGGAGCAACGCCGCGUGAGUGAUGAAGGCUUUCGGGUCGUAAAACUCUGUUGUUAGGGAAGAACAAGUGCUAGUUGAAUAAGCUGGCACCUUGACGGUACCUAACCAGAAAGCCACGGCUAACUACGUGCCAGCCGCCGCGGUAA
rnacentral:rRNA from 1 species